rnacentral:misc_RNA from 1 species
AGCACAGGACAGCCGCGGCGGCUCUGUACGCCGCACAGAGCAGAGGACAGCCGUCAUCGUUCGCGCCUCACUGUGAAAAUAAACAGUUCCGGGGCCAGGCGGCGGAGCGGCGGCGGAGCGGCAGGCCGGCCAGAUGUGGGGGCAGUGCGGGACAGGAGCCGUGCGGGGGAGCCGCGGCAGCCGAGAGGGAGCCAGGAGACCGUGGGAGCGAGUCCCGGCGACACGGGACAGACGGUGGAUCUCUGGUGACACGGGACAGCCCCGGUCGACGGACGGUCAGAGUGCUGUGCGCGGUCGGUGGGUGAGGACCGGACCACGGGGGAGCUGUGACUGGAGGACUGCCGGAGAGGACCGAUCAGUGGGGUGUUCACUACUCUGUAUCAGCCUGUAGCCCAGCCACAGAGCCAAGAGGAGCUGAUUGAUAACGUGGACGCCCGUCGUACCAGGCGAAUGAUGAGUCGUCACACGUGGCUGGCGAUAGCAGUCGUCUUCUUGCUGCCAGCCGAUCUGCUGGCCUACCAAAACCUCGCGACCAAGACAAACAAACGAUUGAACCGGGUCAGUCUGAACGAGUUUCGUCAGGUGAUCCGCGAUGACCUAGUCGGCAUUGUGGAGAACGCGCUCGUCUCCAUGCAGAUGGGCCGCUCUCCCUCCGGAACGAUGACCGUAGACGAGAAGAUCACCACCUCCGUGGAGGCCUCCGUGCGCACCAUGACCAACACCAUCCAGGACACGCUGCGCCGCUUCGAGACGCGCCUGAUGACCAUCGAGCACCAGCUGGAGGGCGGCCAGAAUGCGCCGAUGGCACGCAGCAGCCGCUACCAGGCGCUCUGCAGCGAGUCUCACGAGCGCAGUCUGCAGCAGGGCGUCGAGCGUAUCACGGCCAUCCUCAGCUCGGUCACCGAGAGGGUCGGCGAGGCGCGCGACGCCAGCUCUGAGGCCCAGCAGGGCGUCCAGAGACUCAACGACCGGCUGCCCAAGGUCGAGGACAACAUCAAGAAGGAGCUGGAGCACUCGGUGACCGUGAUGGAGACGGGCGUGAAGCGCCAGCUGCAGGCGAUGCAGCUGGAGGCGGCGGCGGCAGCGGCGGCGCGGGACACCCGCGUCGUCCCCACGCAGGCCGUGCCGCAGACGACGCCGGCCACAUGUGACGGCGACAGCCUGCUCUCGUCCUUCAAGCGGAUGGAGUCGUCGCUGACAUGGCAGAUGAACAAGGUGGAGAACCUGCUGCUGGCGGGCGCGGAGGGCGGCGCACCGCCGGCAGGGCGGCAUCAGAUCGACAGGGAGGCGGCACACCAGGUCGAACCGCUGAGCAGGAGCCCCGACUCGCUGAAGAGCUGUGCCGAGCUGUACGACAGCGGAAUGCGUACCAGCGGCCUGUACACCAUCCGACCGGGCCAGGUCAAGGUGCGCGUCUUCUGCGACAUGAACUCGGAGGGCGGCGGCUGGACCGUGUUCCAGCAGCGAGGACCGCACCUCAAACGGGAAGACUUUUUCCGUGACUGGGAGGCCUACAAGACGGGUUUCGGUGACCCUGAAGGCGAGUACUGGCUGGGCAACCAGCACCUUCACGAGCUGACCUCGGACGGUCGGCCGCACGUGCUCCGGAUCGAUAUGUUGGACUGGAGCGGCGAGCGUACCUACGUGCAGUACGACAACUUCAGCGUGGCAGAUGAGGAGGACAAGUUCCGCAUUAACCUGGGCGCCUUCUCCGGCGACACCGGCGACUCGAUGACGAUGGACAACCGGCGUCAGUUCUCCACGGCCGACCAGGACAACGACCGACUGCGCUACGGCAACUGUGCGCGCGCGCACAAGGCCGGCUGGUGGUUCGGCGCCUGUCGACGGGCAAACCUGAAUGGCGUGGCCCACAACGGCGCUCACGAGGGACCGGACGGCAUCAACUGGCUCGACUGGAAGGGCCCCAACUACUCCAUCAAGGCCACGCGCAUGAUGGUCAAAUAGCUGGAGCGGUUGGUGAACGUUUCGGCAGAAUGAAUCAUCACUGGACGAGGAGGUGGCGCCGGAGUCCCGUCCGAAUAGAGAGACACAGGACUCCGUGGGCGUGUUUGCUGUUUGAAGAUUGUGGGCCCUGAUGCCCUAAUCCUGUUCGUACUCGUUGUAUUGGCGUAACACUCCGCGGUUCCGCCCGGUGGCUCUGUCACCGCGUUUUACCGGCCGUGUCCGUGACGCGAGGCCGGCGCCGUCCGCACGUCUGGAGUGGUGCGAUCCCACAGCCGAGUGCCCAGUGCACGUGACACAAGCCGGUUGGGGUAGACCUGGGGCAGAUUGUCUGUCUGUCUGUCUGUCUGUGUCACAUGACGUCACCACAGCGCGGCCAAUGCGGAAUGUGCGCUAACCGUUACAUGUCGUCCGGCUAGAGUUAUGUGAGCUGUGCUGAGCCGAGCUGAGCGCGGUGAGCCGGCUGAGUCUGAGCUGAGCCGAACCCGGACCUGCCGGGCUCAGCACGGCCGAGUUGUCCCGGGCGUCCGCCACAGGUGGUGACGACUAUCGGUUUACUGCUGACCGCAGUCGAUCAUCGCAACCCACUCUCGGCGAGACAGCGGACUUAAUGAAUAAUCGUGUUGAUCGCAUGAGUGAUGUGUACCGCUAGUUUUAACUCGGAUUAUGCCUUACACCAGACGCUUGAAAACAAUUUCGGUAACCGCAAAAAAUGUCCGAAGGUAUGUGCUUACGCGGUUCUUACAAGGUGUAUGCAGAUAAUCUGUAUAUGGAGAACUUAUCAUUGUGCUUACCUGGUAAAGUUUGGACACUAUCACCAAGCGUGACAGAUGCUCGUAUUUCGCUGAGUUUGUGGAAACCAGCAGGGAGUGCCUUUUGUGAAUAUUUAUUUUCUCGAAUAAUGGCUUAAAACGAAGUGAAUCUUGAGAAUAACCUCCGAAGCGAGUGGACACGAUUGCUUAGCGUAACUUUUAGGGAUUCCUAUAAUAAGUUUUUUUUUUAUAAAAGGAUUGCGCAAAUAAAACAUCCAUUUACCUAGUUAA